rnacentral:rRNA from 1 species
UACAGAGGUCCCGAGCGUUGUUCGGAUUCACUGGGCGUAAAGGGUGCGUAGGUGGCAUGGUAAGUUUGAUGUGAAAGCUCAGGGCUUAACCCUGAAAUGGCAUUGAAUACUACUGUGCUGGAGGUUUGGAGGGGGGACUGGAAUUCUUGGUGUAGCAGUGAAAUGCGUAGAUAUCAAGAGGAACACCAGCGGCGAAGGCGAGUCCCUGGACAACACCUGACACUGAGGCACGAAAGCUAGGGGAGCAAACAGG